AUAAUAAUAAUUACAACUUUCAACAACGGAUCUCUUGGUUCUGGCAUCGAUGAAGAACGCAGCGAAAUGCGAUAAGUAGUGUGAAUUGCAGAAUUCAGUGAAUCAUCGAAUCUUUGAACGCACAUUGCGCCCUUUGGUAUUCCAAAGGGCAUGC
rnacentral:rRNA from 1 species